rnacentral:rRNA from 1 species
AUUGAACGCUGGCGGCAGGCCUAACACAUGCAAGUCGCACGAGUGGCGGACGGGUGAGUAAUGUCUGGGAAACUGCCUGAUGGAUGGGGAUAACUACUGGAAACGGUAGCUAAUACCGCAUACCAUCGGAUGUGCCCAGAUGGGAUUAGCUAGUAGGUGGGGUAAAGGCUCACCUAGGCGCCGAUCCCUAUCUGGUCUGAGAGGAUGACCAGCGACACUGGAACUGAGACACGGUCCAGAGGCCUACGGGAGGCAGCAGUGGGGAAUAGUGAACAAUGGGCGCAAGCCUGCUGCAGCCAUGCCGGGUGUAUGAAGAAGGCCUUCGGGUUGUAAAGUACAUUCAGCGGGGAGGCGUUACCCGCAGAAGAAGCACCGGCUAACGCCGUGCCAGCCGCCGCGGUAAUUC